CGGUUCUUGACCAUCAUUCUCAAGUUCCAUCGGAGGUUGAAUUCCAGCAACGCCGAGUCUUUGCUGGAGUUCAAACCUCCGGUGGAAUCUGAGGAUAGUGGCGAAGAACC
rnacentral:pre_miRNA from 1 species